ensembl:miRNA
GUUGGUGCAAAAGUAAUUGCGGUUUUUGCCAUUGAAAAUAAUACCAAAAACCGCAAUUAUUUUUACACCAA